rnacentral:rRNA from 1 species
UACGUAGGGUGCAGGCGUUAAUCGGAAUUACUGGGCGUAAAGCGUGCGCAGGCGGUUUCUUAAGUCAGAUGUGAAAUCCCCGGGCUCAACCCGGGAACUGCGUCCGAUACUGGCAGGCUUGAAUCCGGGAGAGGGAUGCGGAAUUCCAGGUGUAGCGGUGAAAUGCGUAGAUAUCUGGAGGAACACCGGUGGCGAAGGCGGCAUCCUGGACCGGCAUUGACGCUGACGGCGCGAAAGCCAGGGGAGCAAACGGG